AAAUUGAAGAGUUUGAUCAUGGCUCAGAUUGAACGCUGGCGGCAGGCCUAACACAUGCAAGUCGAGCGGUAGCACAGAGAGCUUGCUCUCGGGUGACGAGCGGCGGACGGGUGAGUAAUGUCUGGGAAACUGCCUGAUGGAGGGGGAUAACUACUGGAAACGGUAGCUAAUACCGCAUAACGUCGCAAGACCAAAGUGGGGGACCUUCGGGCCUCAUGCCAUCAGAUGUGCCCAGAUGGGAUUAGCUAGUAGGUGGGGUAACGGCUCACCUAGGCGACGAUCCCUAGCUGGUCUGAGAGGAUG
rnacentral:rRNA from 1 species